rnacentral:rRNA from 1 species
UACGUAGGGACCGAGCGUUGUCCGGAUUUAUUGGGCGUAAAGAGCUCGUAGGUGGUUUGGUAAGUCGGAUGUGAAAUCUCCAGGCUCAACCUGGAGGGGUCAUUCGAUACUGCCAUGACUAGAGGUCGGUAGGGGAGUGUGGAAUUCCUGGUGGAGCGGUGAAAUGCGCAGAUAUCAGGAGGAACACCCGUAGCGAAGGCGGCACUCUGGGCCGAUUCUGACACUGAGGAGCGAAAGCGUGGGGAGCGAACAGG